UGCCUCUGGCCUCAAACAUCAAAGGUAACUCUGCCCGGUGAUAAAUACCCAAAAUUUAACGGCCGCGGUAUCCUGACCGUGCUAAGGUAGCACAAUAAUGAGCCUCUUAAUUAGGGGAUAGAAUGAAUGAAGAAACAAGAAAUAAUCUGUCUCUUUUUUGAUAAUUGAAAUUUAGCUCUAGGUGAAAACUCCUAGAUUAUAAACACAGACAAAAAGACCCUACAAGCUUCCAUCAUAAUAUUAUUUUAAUAGAAAGAUUUUUAAUUGGGGCGAUUCAAAGUAAAAAACACUUUAUAAAUAUAAGAACCAUACUUCACGCCUGCUAUUCUAAAAACAUAUAAGUAAGUUACUAUAGGGAUAACAGGCUAAUACUUCUUUAGAGCACAUAUCCACAGAAGUGCUUAGCACCUCGAUGUUGGCUUAAGGAUCCUAUUUUAU
rnacentral:rRNA from 1 species